AUUGAACGCUGGCGGCAGGCCUAACACAUGCAAGUCGAACGAGUGGCGGACGGGUGAGUAAUGUCUGGGAAUCUGCCUGAUGGAGGGGGAUAACUACUGGAAACGGUAGCUAAUACCGCAUACCAUCAGAUGUGCCCAGAUGGGAUUAGCUUGUUGGUGGGGUAACGGCUCACCAAGGCGACGAUCCCUAGCUGGUCUGAGAGGAUGACCAGCCACACUGGAAAUGAGACAAGGCCCAGACGACUACGGGAGGCAGAAGUGGGGAAUAGUGCAAAAUGGGCGCAAGCCUGAUGCAGCCAUGCCGCGGGAAUGAAGAAGGCCUUCGGGUUGUAAAGUAAUUUCAGCAGGGAGGCGUUACCCGAAGAAGAAGAACCGGAUAACUCCGGGCAAGCCGCCGCGGUAAUUA
rnacentral:rRNA from 1 species